UACGUAGGGGGCAAGCGUUGUCCGGAUUUAUUGGGCGUAAAGAGCUCGUAGGCGGCUUGUCGCGUCGUUCGUGAAAACUUGGGGCUCAACCCCAAGCUUGCGGUCGAUACGGGCAGGCUAGAGUUCGGUAGGGGAGACUGGAAUUCCUGGUGUAGCGGUGAAAUGCGCAGAUAUCAGGAAGAACACCCGUGGCGAAGGCGGUUCUCUGGGACGGUACUGACGCUGAGACGCGAAAGCGUGGGGAGCGAACAGG
rnacentral:rRNA from 1 species